rnacentral:sRNA from 1 species
GGCCUUUUGGGAACUCAUUGACUUCAGGUUCCAUCAGAACUUCGAAGUUAAGCGAGUUCACGCAAGAGCAAUCCCAGGAUGGGUGACCCACUAGGAAGUUAUCGUGUGAGUUCCCAGAAACAAAACCGUGAGGGCGUGGUCGAUGCCCAAAGCGGACAAUAUCGUGUUACGGUAGAGUCGAGCCCUGGAUGUGGUGGGGGCCCGGGCCGGAAUGUGACAGUUUUCCACCCUCCGAGUGGUCCUAGGACCACUUUGGUUCCAAUUUACAUCCACCCUUGCGGUGGGUGGAGUUCAAGAACUCUUGUUGUUGCCUGGCUUUUUUUGCUUAUCCAUUUAUGUAUCUUAUAUGUAUAUUCUCAUCUCUACCUAGCACGAGACCUUUUGGGAACUCAUUGACUUCAGGUUCCAUCAGAACUUCGAAGUUAAGCGAGUUCACGCAAGAGCAAUCCCAGGAUGGGUGACCCACUAGGAAGUUAUCGUGUGAGUUCCCAGAAACAAAACCAGGGGAGUGGAUCCUGUAAGCCUUAUAUGUAUAUUCUCAUCUCUACCUAGCACGAGGCCUUUUGGGAACUCAUUGACUUCAGGUUCCAUCAUAACUUUGAAGUUAAGCGAGUUCACGCAAGAGCAAUCCCAGGAUGGGUGACCCACUAGGAAGUUAUCGUGUGAGUUCCCAUA